GUGAGAAGCAGCUGUGGAGAGCUGAUGCACAAGCCCACAGUAGGGUGAGCAAGCCUGGAGUAGGGUGACAACAUGGAGGAGGGAGCGCCUGGCUCUGCCAGGAAUCGGCCAAGGCUCAACAGUGUUUAUGCCUUAAGACAAGAAAACAGCACGGAGUUGAGAGCUUAAGCUCUGGAACUGGGCAAGUUCUCUCAAAGCCUCAUCGGGCUACUCUAAGAAUUAAAUUAAAACACUAACAAGCACAGAAUAAGCUAGUUCCUGAUAUAGUAAGAGCUUAUUAUGUGCCAGGAACUGUUAGACCCACGUAUUGAGGGACUGAAGUUUCAGCAGCACAUGAGUGACCUUCGAAAUGGAUCCUCCAUCACCUUCAGAUGACUGCAGCCCUGGAUCACAACUUCACCACAACCUUGAGAGUGACCCUCACCUUGAACCUCCCAGCCAAGCUGUUCUCAGGCCAGCUAACUUCCAAAAUUACCCCAGGAUUCAUCAUAUCAAGGGGCAAAUGGCUUCCUGUUUCUCUCUGUGUCCUCUCAGGGCAUUAGUGUCUGGCCCUCUCUCAAGGUACCUGAAUGCUGGGAGCCUGAAUCUGACAAUGCCCAUUGCACCUCACAAAUCAGCUUGAGACAAUGCUCACAUAUGUUCCCCCUGCUUCAUAUGUCUCGGUUAUACUUGAGUAACGCUCAUAUACUUUUACCCCAUUUUGUAUCUCUCAGUUAUACUUGAAUAACGCUCAUAUACUUUUCCCAUUUCGUAUCUCUCAGUUGUACUUGAGUAACACUCAUACAUUUUUCCCAUUUCGUAUCUCUCAGUUGUUACUCAGUUGAGUAACACUCAUAUACUUUUCCCCUGUUUUGUAUCUCUCUGUUAUACCUUGAGUAAUGCUCAUAUACUUUUCCCCUACCUUGCAUCUCUUAAUUAGAAAAAUGCCACACAUGGUGUUCCAGGCUACUCUCUCAAGAGAUUAUGUAAGUAAUGACUCCUAAACUGGGAAAAGACAUACAACUCUGCAGAUGAGUUUGAACUCUUUUCUCCUCCCUUCCUCCAGGUGGUUCCUUUCCAAAGAUGAUAUAAUUAGCAAUAAAGUCAAUAAAAUCUGGAUUUUUUUCUAACUCAUCCAAAAACUGUUACCCAG
rnacentral:lncRNA from 1 species